rnacentral:rRNA from 1 species
UACAGAGGGGGCAAGCGUUUGUUCGGAAUUACUGGGCGUAAAGGGCGCGUAGGCGGCCUGUUAAGUCGAACGUGAAAUCCCCGGGCUCACCCGGGAACUGCGUCCGAUACUGGCAGGCUUGAUCCGGGAGAGGGAUGCGGAAUUCCAGGUGUAGCGGUGAAAUGCGUAGAUAUCUGGAGGAACACCGGUGGCGAAGGCGGCAUCCUGGACCGGCAUUGACGCUGAGGCGGCGAAAGCCAGGG